rnacentral:rRNA from 1 species
UAUGGCUCAGAUUGAACGCUGGCGGCAGGCCUAACACAUGCAAGUCGAGCGGAAACGAGUUAACUGAACCUUCGGGGAACGUUAACGGCGUCGAGCGGCGGACGGGUGAGUAAUGCCUGGGAAAUUGCCCUGAUGUGGGGGAUAACCAUUGGAAACGAUGGCUAAUACCGCAUAAUGCCUUCGGGCCAAAGAGGGGGACCUUCGGGCCUCUCGCGUCAGGAUAUGCCCAGGUGGGAUUAGCUAGUUGGUGAGGUAAUGGCUCACCAAGGCGACGAUCCCUAGCUGGUCUGAGAGGAUGAUCAGCCACACUGGAACUGAGACACGGUCCAGACUCCUACGGGAGGCAGCAGUGGGGAAUAUUGCACAAUGGGCGCAAGCCUGAUGCAGCCAUGCCGCGUGUAUGAAGAAGGCCUUCGGGUUGUAAAGUACUUUCAGCAGUGAGGAAGGUGGUAGUGUUAAUAGCACUAUCAUUUGACGUUAGCUGCAGAAGAAGCACCGGCUAACUCCGUGC